GCUUAUGACCAUACCAUCUCCACGCCUGAUCUCGCCUGGUUAUUACUUGAAUGGAGACCAUCUGGGAAUACCAGGUGCUGUAUACA
ensembl:rRNA 5S_rRNA 5S ribosomal RNA